rnacentral:rRNA from 1 species
CAGAGGGGGCAAGCGUUAUUCGGAAUUAUUGGGCGUAAAGGGCGCGUAGGCGGCCUUUCAAGUGACGGGUGAAAUCCCUCGGCUUAACCGAGGAACUGCCUGUCAGACUGGAAGGCUUGAGACCGGGAGAGGUGAGUGGAAUUCCCAGUGUAGCGGUGAAAUGCGUAGAUAUUGGGAGGAACACCAGUGGCGAAGGCGGCUCACUGGACCGGAACUGACGCUGAUGCGCGAAAGCGUGGGGAGCAAACAGGAUUAGAUACCCUGGUAGUCCACGCCGUAAACGAUGAGUGCUUGGUGUAGCGGGUAUCGACCCCUGCUGUGCCGAAGUCAACACAUUAAGCACUCCGCCUGGGGAGUACGGUCGCAAGACUG